rnacentral:rRNA from 1 species
CGUGUAGGCGGUCGGUCAAGUCCGGUGUGAAAGCCCGGGGCUCAGCUCCGGAAGUGCAUCGGAAACUAGCCGACUGGAGCGCGAUAGAGGAGGGUGGAAUUCCUGGUGUAGCGGUGAAAUGCGUAGAUAUCAGGAGGAACACCGGCGGCGAAGGCGGCCCCCCUGGAUCGUUGCUGACGCUGAGACGCGAAAGCGUGGGGAGCAAACAGGAUUAGAUACCCUGGUAGUCCACGCUGUAAACUAUGGGUACUAGGUGUUCGGGGUGUUGACCCCCUGAGUGCCGACGCUAACGCAUUAAGUACCCCGCCUGGGGACUACGGCCGCAAGGCUAAA